rnacentral:lncRNA from 1 species
AAUCAUCCUGCGGCAGUUUGCAAAUCAUCAUUCUCCAAUCAUUCCUCUAAUCUUUUGGCUACAUCAAGUUCUCAAAUCUUUGAUCUUUCAACCUUUCAAGAACAACCUUUACAAUCGAAUCAUAGGUAAGUGUUUAUGAUUAUGAAAGUCCCUACUUCCAUACCGAGCUAGUUACCUGGGAGGCAACGGGAUAUUAGUUGAUAGCGCUAUUAGGCAUGACAAACCUCACACCGUACCUGGGAGGACGCGCGUGAACUAAUGACCUUAAACAUUUUGAUCAAUGAUGAUAGACAUUUCUGAGGGCACCAAAAACAGAACAAUUAAUCGGUAGUUAGAUACAUCCAUGAAACGAAACUUGCAAUCGGAGGAGCUGGAGAUGUCAUGGGUCCUGUUGCUUAUUCAAACGCUUAAUUGUUAUGUGAUGCUUUACAAACAAUUUGUUUUCGAAUAUUUAAAACAAUUACAAUUUGCUUCCGCUGAACGUAUACUUUGUUGAAUCGCUUAUGUUGAAAUGCA